rnacentral:misc_RNA from 1 species
AUAUAGAGAUCUGGGUUUCAGCUCUAGCUAACAGCCACACUAUUAAUCAGCUUCUGAUCCAGCUGGGCCAUGGAAUUUCUUCCACUAUAGACGGGAAAAGAGUACUGUUUACAGCUAAAGGGGGCAACUAUUUAAUAAAACCUAAAAAGUUGUAACAAAUGCCCAGAGAAAUUUUGAUAGAAUUCCUGAGGCCUUUCCAACAAAUAAAUUAUGCUAAGAUAAAAGAAAAAUUAAAAAUUGAUACACGAACAUGACAGUCUAGAGUUUGGUUACAGCU